UAGGCAGAAGCCAGCAGGUAUACGGCAUCUAGCUGUUAACUAGAAUUGUAUGGGAUCGAGGCCCAUCUGCCUAG
rnacentral:tRNA from 1 species